AACGCGAAGAACCUUACCUGCUCUUGACAUGCUAGGGAGAUUUCAGAGAUGAGAUUGUGCCUUUGGGAACCUAGACACAGGUGCUGCAUGGCUGUCGUCAGCUCGUGUCGUGAGAUGUUGUCUUAAGUGACGCAACGAGCGCAACCCUUGCCACUAAUUGCCAUAAUUAGGUUUGGAACUUUAGUGGGACUGCCGAUAAAGAAGUCGGAGGAAGGUGGGGAUGACGUCAAGUCCUCAUGGCCCUUAUGAGCAGGGCUUCACACGUCAUACAAUGGUAGGUACAAUUGGAAGCGAAGUUGCGAGAUGGAGCAAAUCUGAGAAAGCCUAUCGUAGUCCGGAUUGCACUCUGCAACUCGAGUGCAUGAAGUCGGAAUCGCUAGUAAUCGCGGAUCAGAAUGUCGCGGUGAAUACGUUCCCGGGCCUUGUACACACCGGACACGC
rnacentral:rRNA from 1 species